rnacentral:lncRNA from 1 species
AAAGGGUGGACAGCAGCCACCAUUUAAGAAAGAAGUCCCGCUGAAUGUAGCUUUGUUCAACUAGCCACAAAUGUGGGUGGGGAAGAAAAUUACAAUAACGUAGACGUGUCCAAAGUAAACCCAAAAGGUUGUAAAGUUUUAAAAGUCCACCGAAUUGUGCUCACAUCUUAAUUAGAAAGCAAAUGCUGGCACAUCUCUUCCGAGGAGUUAAACAGUUUGAAUUAUGGAUGAGACAGAUUCCUUCAAGCUGAGCCUCUCAUUUGGACACUCAUGGAACCGGGCAAUGACACAGCCAUAAGAAGCUGCAGCUGAUCACCAGACACCCCUGUGCUUCUCCCACUUCUGAAACGCGCGUGGGCCCCUGAGAUAAGAAUGAGAAUGUCUGUCUCCUGUCACUUUCAUCUGGAGGCCCUGUGAUGACGCCUGCAUCUUGUUUCUUCCCCCAACAGUGGAGGCCACGUGCCAAGCUAUGAGUCAGCAGGUAAAAGUGCAUGCUGCUCCAACCCCGAUCACCUGAGCUUGAUCCCAGCAUUCCAUGGUGGAAGGAGAGACCUGAAUCCAAAAAUUUGCUCUCCUACCUCCAUACUCAGGCCAUGGCACCUGCUUGUACCCCCUGACUCCAAAUCACAAACACACACACCAUACAUAUACAGACUCAGUGUUAAUAAUAAAUUAAAUUAAAAUUAAAAUAUGUGUUUG